CUACGUGCCAGCAGCCGCGGUAAUACGGAAGGUCCAGGCGUUAUCCGGAUUUAUUGGGUUUAAAGGGAGCGUAGGCUGGAGAUUAAGUGUGUUGUGAAAUGUAGACGCUCAACGUCUGAAUUGCAGCGCAUACUGGUUUCCUUGAGUACGCACAACGUUGGCGGAAUUCGUCGUGUAGCGGUGAAAUGCUUAGAUAUGACGAAGAACUCCGAUUGCGAAGGCAGCUGACGGGAGCGCAACUGACGCUUAAGCUCGAAGGUGCGGGUAUCGAACAGGAUUAGAUACCCUGGUAGUCCUAGCUGUAAACGAUGAUUACUGGGUGUGGGCAUGAAGAGUGUCCGUGCCGAAGCUAAUGCGAUAAGUAAUCCGCCUGGGGAGUACGGCCGCAAGGCUGAAACUCAAAGGAAUUGACGGGGACCCGCACAAGCGGUGGAGCAUGUGGUUUAAUUCGACGCAACGCGAGGAACCUUACCAGAUCUUGACAUCCUG
rnacentral:rRNA from 1 species